AUACGAAAGGGGCUAGCGUUGUUCGGAAUUACUGGGCGUAAAGCGCACGUAGGCGGCAUUGUAAGUUGGGGGUGAGAUCCCGGAGCUCAACUCCGGAACUGCCUCCAAAACUACAAAGCUUGAGGAUGUGAGAGGAGAGUGGAAUUCCAAGUGUAGAGGUGAAAUUCGUAGAUAUUUGGAAGAACACCAGUGGCGGAGGCGACUCUCUGGCACAUUUCUGACGCUGAGGUGCGAAAGCGUGGGGAGCAAACAGGAUUAGAAACCCUAGUAGUCC
rnacentral:rRNA from 1 species